rnacentral:rRNA from 1 species
AGCGAACGCUGGCGGCAGGCUUAACACAUGCAAGUCGAACGGGCUUCUUCGGAAGUCAGUGGCAGACGGGUGAGUAACACGUGGUAACGUGCCCUUCGGUUCGGAAUAACUCAGGGAAACUUGAGCUAAUACCGGAUACGCCCUUUUGGGGAAAGGUUUACUGCCGAAGGAUCGGCCCGAGUCUGAUUAGCUUGUUGGUGGGGUAACGGCCUACCAAGGCGACGAUCAGUAGCUGGUCUGAGAGGAUGAUCAGCCACACUGGGACUGAGACACGGCCCAGACUCCUACGGGAGGCAGCAGUGGGGAAUAUUGGACAAUGGGCGCAAGCCUGAUCCAGCCAUGCCGCGUGAGUGAUGAAGGCCUUAGGGUUGUAAAGCUCUUUUGUCCGGGACGAUAAUGACGGUACCGGAAGAAUAAGCCCCGGCUAACUUCGUG